AUGCUUUGGCGGCACAUAUACUAACACCAAACUGAUACAAAGAAGAUUAUAUGGACCCUGCACAAGGACGACAGGUAAAUUCAUGAAGUAUUCCAUUUUUUU